ACGGGAGACACACGGCGGGUGCUAACGUCCGUCGUGAAGAGGGAAACAACCCAGACCGCCAGCUAAGGUCCCAAAGUCAUGGUUAAGUGGGAAACGAUGUGGGAAGGCCCAGACAGCCAGGAUGUUGGCUUAGAAGCAGCCAUCAUUUAAAGAAAGCGUAAUAGCUCACUGGUCGAGUCGGCCUGCGCGGAAGAUGUAACGGGGCUAAACCAUGCACCGAAGCUGCGGCAGCGACGCUUAUGCGUUGUUGGGUAGGGGAGCGUUCUGUAAGCCUGUGAAGGUGUACUGUGAGGUAUGCUGGAGGUAUCAGAAGUGCGAAUGCUGACAUAAGUAACGAUAAAGCGGGUGAAAAGCCCGCUCGCCGGAAGACCAAGGGUUCCUGUCCAACGUUAAUCGGGGCAGGGUGAGUCGACCCCUAAGGCGAGGCCGAAAGGCGUAGUCGAUGGGAAACAGGUUAAUAUUCCUGUACUUGGUGUUACUGCGAAGGGGGGACGGAGAAGGCUAUGUUGGCCGGGCGACGGUUGUCCCGGUUUAAGCGUGUAGGCUGGUUUUCCAGGCAAAUCCGGAAAAUCAAGGCUGAGGCGUGAUGACGAGGCACUACGGUGCUGAAGCAACAAAUGCCCUGCUUCCAGGAAAAGCCUCUAAGCAUCAGGUAACAUCAAAUCGUACCCCAAACCGACACAGGUGGUCAGGUAGAGAAUACCAAGGCGCUUGAGAGAACUCGGGUGAAGGAACUAGGCAAAAUGGUGCCGUAACUUCGGGAGAAGGCACGCUGAUAUGUAGGUGAAGUCCCUCGCG
rnacentral:rRNA from 1 species